GUAGGGAAUCUUCCACAAUGGACGAAAGUCUGAUGGAGCAACGCCGCGUGAGUGAAGAAGGUCUUCGGAUCGUAAAACUCUGUUGUUAGAGAAGAACGUACAUGAUAGUAACUGAUCAUGUAAUGACGGUAUCUAACCAGAAAGCCACGGCUAACUACGUGCCAGCAGCCGCGGUAAUACGUAGGUGGCAAGCGUUGUCCGGAUUUAUUGGGCGUAAAGGGAACGCAGGCGGUUUUUUAAGUCUGAUGUGAAAGCCUUCGGCUUAACCGAAGAAUAGCAUUGGAAAGUGGAAGACUUGAGUGCAGAAGAGGAGAGUGGAAUUCCAUGUGUAGCGGUGAAAUGCGUAGAUAUAUGGAGGAACACCAGUGGCGAAAGCGGCUCUCUGGUCUGUAACUGACGCUGAGGUUCGAAAGCGUGGGUAGCAAACAGGAUUAGAUACCCGGGUAGUCC
rnacentral:rRNA from 1 species